rnacentral:rRNA from 1 species
AUGGCCAACCUCCUGCACCUCCCGGACCUCGCGGCGGCCAGACCGCCCGCGCCCGGCGUCGCGCGGAGGAGGGGGGCGAGGGUCGUGGCGGCGGCGGCCGGGGGCCGCGUGAAGCAGGAGGAGGCCGGGGCGGGGACGGGGAGGGGGCGGGUGAUCAGGGUCACGGACCCCGUGCGGGACGGGAGGCUGCCGGUGCCGGCCCCGCCGCCGCUCUUCUCCGUGCCGAUGACGCCGGCCUCGGAGUCGCCGGCGGCGACCACGCGCCGGGAUGACGACGAGGAGGAACGGCGCAGGUACUACCUUAACCUGGGCUACGCCAUCCGCACGCUCAGGGAGGAGAUACCCGACGUCUUCUACAAGGAGCCCAGCUUCGAUAUCUACAGAGAUGAUAUCGUCUUCAGAAACCCUUUCAAUAAAUUCGAGGGCAUUGACAAUUACAGAAGUCUAUUCUGGGGAUUGCGCUUUACUGGACGUAUCUUCUUUAAAGCAUUAUGGGUUGAUAUAGUUAGUAUAUGGCAGCCUGCCGAGAAUCUUAUUAUGAUUCGCUGGAUUGCCCACGGCAUUCCUAGAGUCCCAUGGGAUGGCCAUGCCCGCUUUGAUGGUGCCUCCGUUUACAAACUCGACAGGAAUGGGAAGAUCUAUGAGCAUAAGGUACAUAACAUUGCUACGACCCCACCGACAAAGUACAAGGUCCUGUCUGUACAAGAGCUAGUCAGAUCACUUAGCUGUCCGUCCACUCCAAAACCAACGUAUUUCGAGGCUUCAUCUCAAUCUUUGAGCACGGCGUCGCUUUAUUCGAGGUUGGCAUGGAUCAGACGCCUAGCAAAUCUCAGAGGAGGAUAG